rnacentral:lncRNA from 1 species
AAAAGAGGGACCUAAGAUGAACCGAGAAGGGUCCGAUAGGACAAACUGUUUAAGUAUGGUAUAAUCCAAUGACGAAGAAGAAGGAAGUGGCGGAAGUGGCACCAUCGCUAAAACGAAGAAAAAAGGUGAAGAAAAACCCUAAGGAUCGAAAAUGGGAAGGAAGUAGAGAAGACUAAGACAGAUCGAAAAAAAGAGAAGCAAAAGCGGAGAAGACGAGGAAAUGAAAAGAGAAGACGAAGAAGAUGAAGCUUGGCGAAAAAGAAAGGAGUCGUCGCGUUGAAUCGGAAUCCGAGGCUGGCUAUAAUGGCUGGCUAUAAUGAUGAAGAAAUGGCGGCAAUUAAGAUGACCUAAUUAAUACUGCAUAUAAGACAAGAAGGACUGGCGAGAUCGUGGCCGUAGAAAAGGAAAGAACGGCUAAAAAGGAGUCGUACGAAGAAUUUUAAACUGACUGUAUCGAAAAACGCGCCUCUGAUUACGCCAGCUAUCGAACCAUCCGUUCGGAAGUUGUCGAGGGAGCAAUUGUUGGGCCAAUAAUUUGCGGCCAAGUGGUACACUAGUGCUCCACUCAACCCUAAUCUUUUAGAAGCUAGGAUUAAAAAGGAUUUUGAUGUGCACCGAGAGCAUCAACAAGAAUAUUGAGUAACCGCCAGGUAUAACUGAGGGAAGUUACAGUAACUGCAAGUGGUUAUAAGCGGUUCCGAUCCGCUGGAAGUUGCCCGAAAAAAUAGGAGUAGUGGCUGAUCAUGGAUGGGGAAUAACGGAUCAGCAGGGACGAUCUAUAAAUAGGCAAAUAACGCCCGUCUUUUCCCCGAGAACAAAAGACCACCUUUAUUUCCUCUACAAUUUCUUCGCAUUUUCUAGAAGUAGACUACUUGUAAUCUUUUACUCUCUCGCAUUUACUGUUUUCU